rnacentral:rRNA from 1 species
CUACGGGCCGCUCCAGUGGGGAAUAUUGGACAAUGGGGGAAACCCUGAUCCAGCAAUGCCGCGUGUGCGAAGAAGGCCUGCGGGUUGUAAAGCACUUUCGGUUGGGAGGACUGCUUCUAGCACUAAUAUUGUUGGAAGUUGACGUUACCUUCAGAAGAAGCACCGGCUAACUCCGUGCCAGCAGCCGCGGUAAUACGGAGGGUGCAAGUGUUAAUCGGAAUUACUGGGCGUAAAGCGCGCGUAGGCGGCUAGAUCAGUCGGGUGUGAAAGCCCCGGGCUUAACCUGGGAACUGCAUCCGAUACUGUCUAGCUUGAGUACAGGAGAGGAGAGUGGAAUUCCACAUGUAGCGGUGAAAUGCGUAGAUAUGUGGAGGAACACCAAUGGCGAAGGCAGCUCUCUGGCCUGAUACUGACGCUGAGGUGCGAAAGCGUGAGGAGCAAACAGGAUUAGAUACCCCGGUAGUC